GCAAACUUGGUCAUUUAGAGGAAGUAAAAGUCGUAACAAGGUUUCCGUAGGUGAACCUGCGGAAGGAUCAUUAAUGAAAUGCCUAUAUAGGCCAUUUCUCUAUAUCCACCUGUGCACUAUAUGUUGUAGACUCUUGGGUUAUAGGAAGGGAGGCGAUAUAGUCUGCCUUUCUGUGUCAUGUCCAAAGUCUAUGAUGACUAUACUACAUACAUGGUUAUUGUAAUGUUGAAUAUGUUUUUUGGCUGUUAAAGCCUUUAAAUAACUAUACAACUUUCAACAACGGAUCUCUUGGCUCUCGCAUCGAUGAAGAACGCAGC
rnacentral:misc_RNA from 1 species